UACGUAGGGUGCAAGCGUUAAUCGGAAUUACUGGGCGUAAAGCGUGCGCAGGCGGUUCGGAAAGAAAGAUGUGAAAUCCCAGGGCUUAACCUUGGAACUGCAUUUUUAACUGCCGGGCUAGAGUAUGUCAGAGGGGGGUAGAAUUCCACGUGUAGCAGUGAAAUGCGUAGAGAUGUGGAGGAAUACCGAUGGCGAAGGCAGCCCCCUGGGAUGAUACUGACGCUCAUGCACGAAAGCGUGGGGAGCAAACAGG
rnacentral:rRNA from 1 species